ensembl:lncRNA
GUUUCCGGCUGCAUGCAGCAUUUAUUGUUUCAUAUUUUUCACCAUGGUAGAGUACACAGACUUCUUUUUAAGAAAUAGUACAAAAUGGAUCAAACUUUUGAAUAUUAAUUUAAAACAUUAAAGUGAAGGGUAAACAGAGGUUUUGGAUAAGUCUGGAGGACAUGCACGGUCCCAUAUAAAGAUUUCAAACGAUAGGCUUACGAAUACCAAGCAGGAGAUAUAAUCAGAUGAAUUUUUCUAGUUGUGAUACUUCACACAGGUAGCCUACUGUUGGGGAAAAUAUCUGGCUUGGCAGGCUUUUUUUUCAAAACAUGCUUUUUGUGUACGCAUGCCUCUUUUUAUAUAGAAUUAACAAGCUUUUUUUUGUACUGUACUUUUAAACUUCUCCAAAAAAAAGAAUAGCCUUGAAUGGCUUUAGGGAUCCAAUCUGACAUGACAAUGAUGAGGGGCGGGUCACAAGAAGUGAUGGGAGAUGAUUCACUGCUCCUCGUCUCCAGGGUGAUUAUUACCCACACACCACUUUAGCCCUCCAAACCUGUAAACUGCCCAACUGCAGGCUGGGUAAGUGUGAUACACUAUUUACAUAUCCUGUAGUACUUCUUUAGUGGGAAUGUGGACUUCGGUAGACUACAUCCCAAAACAAGGAACACUUAAAAUCUCCAGUCCCUCAUAAAAUGUCAAAGCCUCAUCUUGGCUGUUUUUUCCCUCUUGUAAGCCUCAUCAAUUUCAUUCAUGCAAUCACUCAAUUCACAUUGCAACACAGCCACUUUGAUAUUUCGUUUUGAUAACAAGCCAGCAGAAAUGGCGCAUAGGAAAAUAUAUUAUUUAGUUUACAUUGACAAUAAUGAUCAAUUCAAAGUUUCCAAAUGUAAUUUGGAAACUGUUAAAUACAGUAUGUAACAGUUCUGACUGUAUGGAGACUUAAUCACACUGUGUGAAUACUGUAGUCUGCUUUAUUGUAUAGUUUAGUUUUUGGGUUAAAGGGUCAUGCUAUAAAGCUCUAUUAACUGUCGCAGAGCUUAGUGCAAAUGUAUUUCAAGUCCUAUCUUUAAAUGUAAUUUCUGUAAUAACAACAAAAAGAACAUUGAACCAAACAAUCAGUAUACAAAGUUUUCAAGUAUUUACAAUGGUAAAACCACACAGUUCAAACAAACAAAACAG